rnacentral:rRNA from 1 species
AUGUAUAGAUCUUUGAUCCAGUCUGACGUGUCAGUUGAUAAUAAUAAGAUCUGGAAGAUGAAGAUACCUCUUAAGAAUAAAAUCUUUGCAUGGUGCCUUCAUCGUGGAGUCAUUCUUACUAAAGAUAGCCUUAUUAAGAGGAAUUGGCAUGGAAGUACACAAUGUGUAUUUUGUCCGCAUGAUGAGACAACAAAACAUUUGUUCUUCCAAUGUAAAUUGGAUCGUUCUAUGUGGCCGGUCAUCCAAAUGGCUUCUUGCUUGUUUCCUCUUGUAAUGUUGCUAAUAUAUUUGGCAACUGGUUACAUGAGAUUGAUCACAGGCUUAGAAUUCUUCUCAAGGUGGGAGCGAUUGCCGUGA